rnacentral:rRNA from 1 species
UUAGAAGCUUGCUUCUAUGACGUUAGCGGCGGACGGGUGAGUAACACGUGGGCAACCUACCUGUAAGACUGGGAUAACUUCGGGAAACCGAAGCUAAUACCGGAUAGGAUCUUCUCCUUCAUGGGAGAUGAUUGAAAGAUGGUUUCGGCUAUCACUUACAGAUGGGCCCGCGGUGCAUUAGCUAGUUGGUGAGGUAACGGCUCACCAAGGCAACGAUGCAUAGCCGACCUGAGAGGGUGAUCGGCCACACUGGGACUGAGACACGGCCCAGACUCCUACGGGAGGCAGCAGUAGGGAAUCUUCCGCAAUGGACGAAAGUCUGACGGAGCAACGCCGCGUGAGUGAUGAAGGCUUUCGGGUCGUAAAACUCUGUUGUUAGGGAAGAACAAGUACGAGAGUAACUGCUCGUACCUUGACGGUACCUAACCAGAAAGCCACGGCUAACUACGUGCCAGCAGCCGCGGUAAUACGUAGGUGGCAAGCGUUAUCCGGAAUUAUUGGGCGUAAAGCGCGCGCAGGCGGUUUCUUAAGUCUGAUGUGAAAGCCCACGGCUCAACCGUGGAGGGUCAUUGGAAACUGGGGAACUUGAGUGCAGAAGAGAAAAGCGGAAUUCCACGUGUAGCGGUGAAAUGCGUAGAGAUGUGGAGGAACACCAGUGGCGAAGGCGGCUUUUUGGUCUGUAACUGACGCUGAGGCGCGAAAGCGU